rnacentral:sRNA from 1 species
CAUUUUGUCUGAAUAUGUCCUAUCAUGGCACUCAUUGUUCAAUGAAAUGACUGCUGCCUUUCGACUGGGACAGAUCUUGAGAGGGCAUAAAGCUUGCUACACCUUAACCAAGGAGCUCCAAGAUACAGUUUGCAACAUACAGCAAUUCUGUUCCAAAUAGCUAACUACGAAGAUGCUAAUGUGUCCAGCAACCCGAACAAGCAGCCGGUGAUAAUAAAAGCCGUGCAGCAUUUUAGGCUGGAGAACGAGCGAGAUGCUCUCAAGCGCUUUCAAAGCCAGACUCCCUUUAUUCGCCCGCUGCUUGAUGAGAUUGUCGACCCACCAGACCCGCCAGCUAUCGUUCUUAGGCAUUUAGAUGACCAUCUUUUGAAUGCCUCUACUUCACGGACACUCACAUCCCGUGAGAUCAAAUACGUCGCC